GUGCUCAAUUUGGCAACACAUAUACUAACACUGGAAUGAUACAGAGAAGAUUAGCUUGGUCCCUGAGCAAGGAUGACACAAAUUCUUAUUUGUGUGUUCCAUAUUUGU
ensembl:snRNA U6 U6 spliceosomal RNA